CCACAUUACGUUAAAACACCGUUUCCCGUAUGAUCACCGAAGUUAAGCAAUCCUAAGCCUGGUUAGCAUCUAGAUGGGUGAUCGCUUGAAAAUACCAGGUGCUGUAAG